rnacentral:misc_RNA from 1 species
CUCCAAAAAAUAUCCUCUUGAGCCCAAAUUGGAGCGCAUUCAAGUAAGCAAUCUGCCCAAUAUUAUUUGAAAUCAUUCUAAGAAGAGACCGGGCGACGUCUUCAGGUUUGUAAUCUUCAAGCUCUUUAUAGUCAGAAACAGCCUUCCCAAAGCUUGAUGCAAUAGUUGUUGAUGAAAGGCCAAUCUUUGAAUAAUCCAUUCCACCAUAGAUGUCUCCGACAAGCAUGUCUAUCACUCGGUUAUUUCCCCUAUAACUUAGCUCCAACAAUUCAUCAAAACUCUUGCAUUUUGUUAGUAACCUUCCCAAACCCCAAAAGGUGCCACCUCCAACAUUUGUUCCGCUAACUCGUUCAAAUUUGCCAUCUCCAUCCACCUUAAUCAUGCUAACACCAGAUCCUAUAUUCAC